GUCUUUAUGAAAUAUUUAUAAAGUCUGGCCUGCCCACUGAAUUUUAAAGGGCCGCGGUAUUUUGACCGUGCAAAGGUAGCAUAAUCAUUAGUCUCUUAAUUGGAGGCUUGUAUGAAUGGUUGCACAAGAAAUAAACUGUCUUAAUUUAAUUUAUUGAAUUUAACUUUUAAGUAAAAAGGCUUAAAUAAAUUAAAGUGACGAUAAGACCCUAUAAAACUUUAUAAAUUAAACUAAAAAAAAAUAUUAGUUAAUUGAAAUUUUUUAUUGUUAAAUUUAUUUUAUUGGGGCGAUACAAAUAUAUUAAGUAACUGUUUUUUAUAUUUAAAUGAUAAAUAAUCAUAAUUAAUUAAAUGAUCCUCUAUUAGAGAUUGAAAGAUUAAGUUACUUUAGGGAUAACAGCGUAAUUUUCUUUGAGAGUUCAUAUCUACAAGAAAGAUUACGACCUCGAUGUUGAAUUAAAAAAUCUUUAAGGUGUAGCAGCUUUAACAGAAGGUCUGUUCGACCUUUAAAAUUUU
rnacentral:rRNA from 1 species